UAGGGAAUCUUCCGCAAUGGACGCAAGUCUGACGGAGCAACGCCGCGUGAGUGAAGAAGGAUUUCGGUUCGUAAAACUCUGUUGUUAGAGAAGAACAGCGCAUAGAGUAACUGUUAUGCGUGUGACGGUAUCUAACCAGAAAGCCACGGCUAACUACGUGCCAGCAGCCGCGGUAAUACGUAGGUGGCAAGCGUUGUCCGGAUUUAUUGGGCGUAAAGCGAGCGCAGGCGGUCAAUUAAGUCUGAUGUGAAAGCCCCCGGCUCAACCGGGGAGGGUCAUUGGAAACUGGUUGACUUGAGUGCAGAAGAGGAGAGUGGAAUUCCAUGUGUAGCGGUGAAAUGCGUAGAUAUAUGGAGGAACACCAGUGGCGAAGGCGACUCUCUGGACUGUAACUGACGCUGAGGCUCGAAAGCGUGGGGAGCGAACAGG
rnacentral:rRNA from 1 species